rnacentral:rRNA from 1 species
AUGAUUGACACACUCAACUCCUUGCUGCAACACGCGUCACGAUCCGGCCUGCUCCAACGUCUCACCAACAGGCAUGCCACGUCAAGGAUAUCUCUAUUUGAGGACAACGUGGCGAUCUUUUGCCACCCAACCAACUCCGAGUUAGCCACCCUUCGCGAGCUGUUGUGUGUGUUUGGCGACGCCUCUGGCCUGUGCACUAACUUCCUGAAGUGCUCCGCCACCCCCAUCCGAUGCGGGCAGGAGAUUGCCACGGCCAUCGCCUCAACUAUUGGGUGUGCGGUCACCGCCUUUCCCAUUGUCUACAUGGGCCUCCCCCUCUCCAUUCGCAAGACCCCCUCCUCGGCAUUGCUCCCUCUGGUGGACAAGCUAGCAAGGAAGCUCGCGACCUGGAAGGCCGUGCUCCUAUCUCACGGCGAGCGGAUCGCCCUUGUGCGCCACGUUCUCUCCGCGAUGCCCGUCCACAUCCUCAUGGUGAUUGCUAUCUGCCCAAAGAUCCUGAAGAAGAUCACGCGCAUCAUCUGUGACUUCUUCUGGCAUGGACGCCGAGACGCCAGCUCAGGCUGCUGCCUUGUCAACUGGCAGCGCAUUUGCCGCCCCGUCGAGUUUGGCGGCCUCGGCAUGCGGGAUCUUCACCUCACCGGCAUCUCGUUGCGCUGUCGUUGGCUUUGGCUCAAGGCCACCGACCCAUCGCGCCCUUGGCACCACCUACAACUCCCCCACGACAACGAUACUUGCCGCAUUUUUCCGCGCUUCAACCUCAUGGCACCUGGACGAUGGCAGAACCUGCCGAUUCUGGAGCGAUCACCGGCUCGAUGGUCACGCAAUCCCUGA